rnacentral:tRNA from 1 species
GAUUUUGUAGUUUAUAUUAAAAUGUCAAAUUGCAAAUUUGAAAAAGAAUGCGUCCGAAAUCU